rnacentral:lncRNA from 1 species
UAGAAUUUAAAUCAAGGAAAAUUAGAAUAUACGACGUUGUAUCACAUACGGUAUUUAGACAUCAAGAAAAGAAUCCCUCUAUCUGUGAACCACACUUGCCAGGAAAUUAACACCAGGGGAAUACCACCACCUCAUACUAUUUCUUAGGUGUCUCAGAGUUUGAUGAGGACUUCCAUGCUGUGUCUCUUCGACAGGCAGCAAAAUUGGGCAAUUGACUACAUCAACUCCAACAAAUUUAUGCAGCCACCUUCCUCCGGACCAUCCUGUUUCUUCGCGCUUUAGUUGCCCCUAUUUCCCAUUAUCUUGUUUGACGCCAAGGAGCCCAAGCCCAGAAACAAUGGCAUUCUUUGGUAUCAACCACCUGGAGACUUUGGUAUCAAGCCUGUUGUGCAAGGCUUCUUCAAAAGGUCAUCCGUUGAUCUUUCUCCUAAUUAGACAUUCAAAACCCUGCAUGGAAUCCAUUUGAGAAGUUGGACAAUAGACAAAGUCCAACACAUAUAGACAGUAAAGAAGAAUUCAGACCGCACUCACUGUGGCUGAACAAAUGGGCCUAUUAAGCCUAUUAAAAGUUGGAACCAUAUUCACCACUCGCAUUUCCUUAGAGAACUAUAUCAGAAUUCUGUAAAUUGAAAACUAUUCUUACAUAUUUAACUGUAAAACAAGAGAAAUUAUACUUCCGUAGCAAAGUCUCACUAUUGGUAAGUAUCUGGACUUGGAAAGGAUGCUAGUUGAUCAAGUAAAGGAAAAUUGACAUCAGACUUUGAUGUGAUAGAUAUAUACACUUCAAUAGGAACCACAUUAACAACUUAUGAGACAAACAAACAAAUUCCCCAGUCAAAGUUCAACAAACAAAACAUUAAAACAAGAGUAGGUUGGUCUAUCAAUGUAUAUAUAGAGAUGUCGAUCAAUUGACAAAUACAUCAAGAGUAGGUUGGUCUAUCAAUGUAUAUAUAGAGAUGUCGAUCAAUUGACAAAUACAUCAAGAGUAGGUUGGUCUAUCAAUGUAUAUAUAGAGAUGUCGAUCAAUUGACAAAUACAUCAAGAGUAGGUUGGUCUAUCAAUGUAUAUAUAGAGAUGUCGAUCAAUUGACAAAUACAUCAAGAGUAGGUUGGUCUAUCAAUGUAUAUAUAGAGAUGUCGAUCAAUUGACAAAUACAUCAAGAGUAGGUUGGUCUAUCAAUGUAUAUAUAGAGAUGGCGAAGAAUCUUGCAUCUUAUCAAGUGGGGAAAGCCUUCGCAACAAAGAUGCUGCUUGCUUUCAAGCAAUAAUAAUUUUCCAAUUCCAUAAGGUAGCUUAAUGCCUUUUAAGAAUAUCUGCACCAGCCUAACAAUUAAUCAUGGAAAUUCAAUUUGCAUUUAUCACCUUUAAUUUGCUCAUCUUUGUCUCGAGUAUUGUUUUUGCGUUAACUUAACUAGCUUGCAAACCACCUGCAAAUGGUUUUAAAUAAUGUGUGAGAUUGUGAGGUCGAACGAAUUAAUCAAAUAUGAUGACAGGAGAAACAAAAUUGAAAUAACCACAAGUAGAAGUAUACUUUUGUUAUAUUUAUAGCAUCUUCUACUGUCUUCUUUUCCUUUAGCUCUGUUUCUGUGUUUGCUCAAUCGCGAUGCCUCAAUCUUUUGCAGCCAUAUGCAGACUUGAAACACCGGGGUGUCCCUAAGGAACUUGAAAAUUAGAAAAGUUUCAGUAUGAGUGACUAAAUAUGAUAAUCGAAACUAAUUUAAUAUACACACCUUGUAAAUCUGAAACUAAAUUACUCAAAUGUAUAUGCCUCUUGGCAGCAAUUGCUCGUGGUGGAAAGUUUACUGCAAAGACUUCCUCAAACCUGUGAAGCUCACACACUUCCUGGCAACAAAGAAACAGAGUCAAUAUACGAAGAUGAUUUUACUAACAAGUGAGAGCUUGCAAAUAUUGGAAGGAUAACGAUUACUCAUAACCCAAAUACCCAAUACCUUCUAAUAUCUCACUCACGUGAGUUCAAGCUCCCAAAAUUCAUUACAGUGAAACUCUCACAACAUAAUUGUCUUCAAAUAUUCUCUACUCAACGAAUUAAUUAAAUAUGAUGACAGGAGAAACAAAAUUAAAAUAACCACAAGAAGUAGAAAUAUACUUUUGUUAUAUUCAGAGCAUCUCCUACUGUCUUCAUUUCCCUUAGCUCUGUUUCCUUUUGUGCUCGAACGCAAUGCCUCAAGGCUCAAGAUAAUUUGAUGACCAUCAAUCUUUUUGCAGCCACAUGUAGACUUGAAAAACUGUUGGCGGCCCUAAAGAACUUGAAAAUUAGAAAAGAUUCAGAAUGAGUGACUAAAUAUUAUAAUCGAAACUAAUUAAACAAACGCGCCUUGAAAAUCUGAAACUGAAUUACUCAAAUGUAUAUGCCCCUUCACAGCAAUUGCACGUGGUGGAUGUUGAGGUUGAUGUGGAAAGGACGUGGCUCCCGCGUAAAACCCACCGCUUCGUUCUAAACUAAGUGACUUUAUGUCGUGAGUUAAGUAGUUUAGGAGAUAACUCAAAUAAUUAAUUUUUUAUUAGUUCAGUAAUAAGAAUUUUCGAUUUUAUUUUAAAAGUAUAAUUCAUUACAAAAAAAAAUACUUAAUAAAAAUAACUGUUAUUGUUAUUGAACAUAUUACAUUUUUUCAAUAAUAAAAUAAUUCAAAAUUUUAAUUAUUAUAACAAUAAAAUUUGUAAUAUAAUCCAUUCAUAUACUACAUACAUCACAUAAAAUAUAAACUAGUACUAAGUAUAAUCAUGUUAUAACUAUUCUUAUAAUAUUCUAUUAAUCAUGUUAUAACUAUUCUUAUAAUAUUCUAUUACUAUCAUAUACUGUCAUUUUCCAUCCGGCAUGUCGAACGUGUAAAGUUUGAGUAAGAUUUAUUAAAGUUGAGUAACAUCUUGUAUGGUCAACGCGUCGAGUGUGGACUUGCAUGAUCGAGUCAGUACAACUAAAGUCGGGUAGAGUUUGGUAAAUCUCUAUAUUGUGUUGAGGUUGGACAACUAUACCUUUUAAGCUACAUAAUUAAACAAUUUAAGUAAAUAUUUGCUAUUUUGACUUAAAAUUUAAUUUGAUUUGAUCUCAUACUUUAUUAUUAAAAAACUUAUAAUAUUAAAUAUUAUAAUCGAAACUAAUUAAACAAACGCGCCUUGAAAAUCUGAAACUGAAUUACUCAAAUGUAUAUGCCCCUUCACAGCAAUUGCACGUGGUGGA